GAUUGAGUUAAUGAACCAACGGGUUGCGAAGCUUUCCCCCUUCGCCCUUCUUCGUUUGCGAGUCAUCCCUCAGAUCGUAUUAGAGUAGAAUCGGAGCGCGCCCCUCUUCCUGACGCCUCGAUUGAAGUGGAGGAGAUCGAUGGAGAAGGACGGGAGCGGUGGGUGCCCGGCGAUGGCGUUCCGGUACAACGGGACGCUAUGCGCGUGCGAGCCGGGGCGGUACCUGGUGAACGGGAGCUGCGCGCUGUUCGAGACGGGCGGCGGGUGGGUGGUGAGCUCCGGGGUGUCGUCCGCGCCACCCACCUUCCUCACCACCGUGCUACCCGUCGACUCCAUCAAGCGCUUCACGCAGUCGCAGGCCGUGCUGCUCGAGGCCACCCUCGGCGCGCUACUCGUCUGGCUCGCCUUCUGCCUCGCGCUGCGCUUUAGGCGGGUGGACGGCGGCCGCUGCCUCUGGUUCCGCCUCCGCUGGUGGAUCAGCCGCUCCGACAUGUUCUACGACACCAACCAUUGGUUGGAUGACAACAAGGCAGUGAUAAAGAGGAAAACAGAGCUGGGUGGAACAUUUUCUGUAGCAAGCUCAAUACUUUUUGUUGGUCUAUUGUCAGCGUUGCUGUAUCAGAUUAUUACAAAGAGGAGCAUUGAAGUGCAUAGAGUCCGACCUGCGAAUGCUCCAGAUUUACUUUCAUUUGUCAAUGACUUGGAAUUUAGUAUAACCACUAUUUCUAGCAUGAGCUGUUCUCAUUUACGUGGCCCUGAUUCGCUGGUGAUUGGAACUCCGGGCUCUAUUGACUAUAGAGUUUUUCCUUUGUCAACUUAUGUUGAAUAUAAUUGCCAAAACACUAGCAGUGGCCCUAUCAUAUCUCUUAGGUGCAACAGCUGUCAGAUUCCUCGAAGAAAUCAUUAUAUUUCAUGGCAGUUUGUUGACCUCCGAAAUGAUCCUGCUGCUGCUGUUGGCUUCCGGUUCAACCUUUCAGCAAAGGACCAUGCUAAUAAUAGGCAUGUUAGCUUCGUUAGCGGUACAGUGAAAUCAAAUACCUAUACAGAUGAUAAGCCCAAAACCUUCAGAGGGUCAGAUGUCAACGUAUUGAAAAUCCAUUUGUUUCCCCAAGCAUAUAACAAUUUGAACCUCAUACAACCUCUAUUUCAUGACUUUAUCCCUGGAACAUUUUUUUCUAAGUCUAGUGACCUCCAAGCCUCCCUUCAAGUUUCCAAGGACGGUUUAGUCAACACCACGCUGUACAUAAGUUAUCUUUCUGAUUACAUUGUCGAGAUCGACAAGGAAAACAUGAUUGGAAUUGUGGGGUUCCUUGCGGAUGUUGGAGGUCUUUUCACUUUUAGCCUUGCAAUUUUCCUUUGGUUCUUGAUUCAGUGUGAGGCUAGAAUCAAGAAACUUCGCUACGAGGAUACUGCAAUGAGAAAUAUCCUUAGACAAAGACGUGCACAAAAGAAUUGGGAUAAGCUGAGGAAAUUUGUUAUGUACACAUGGGGUCCAAGCAAAUUGGUUGAGGAUAACAAUAAAUCUAGAAGGCAUGGCACCUUGAUGAUUGAAUCUAUCCAUGGAAUUCAAGCAUUCCAAAGUAAAAAGCAGUCAAGUAGGCAUAAUUCCACACACCUUGACACUGCAAAAGGAAAUUCUCCACAUUCAAAGAGUAGACAGGUCUUUGAAUAGGAGAAGCAUGACAUUGAGGAGGAAGAGGAAACUCGACAACGCAAUAUAUCAGAAAUUUCACAGUAAUUUGGUACUGAUGACAGAUUGCUUUGACCUGACCAUGGUGCAGUUAAGCCAGUGUUUAAGGAUGACCAUUGUGAAGUCCCUAUUUGGUAUGUGAAGCAUAUAUGUCCAAGGGAGAUGGCAACACAGGCUUGUGGGUGCUCAGUAUUCUCCAUCAACUUAUUCUGUUUUAUGUGCACAAGAGAUCUCUUGACCAGAACGAAACUGAGGUAAGCUAUCACUCCAGAGGUUGCCAUCGGUGUGUAUUCAUGCGUGUAACAUGGUUUUGGAGAAGCAAGCAAUGAUGAUACAGGGAUUGAUGUUGUUCAAAAAAAGAAGAUAUUCAUUGUAUCGAUUCAUUUUUGCAUGUAUUGUAGUGUUAUAUAUUCAUGUGUGUAACAUGUUUUUGGAGAAGCAAGCAAUAAUGAUCCAGGGAUUGAUGUUGUUCGAAAAAAGAAGAUAUUCAUUGUAUCGAUUCAUUUUUGCAUGUAUUGUAGUGUUGUAUA